UUUGGGUUUUGUACCAUUUCCUAAUGGCUUCCCUUUGUGUAAUCUCACGUGUCAGAGAUCUGUACAACCUUCUCUCACAACAUGGAAGACUGGCACAGCUACAUUCCUGCAACAUUUAGCUUCUGACUUGUAGAGAAUCCUGAAGUCCAUUCAGAGACCAAAGGGAGCGUGCUGUUGCUGGAAAAAGAGAGGAGGUUCAAAGACAAGGGGCUUCAUGAUGCCGUGAUUCUGUAUGAACAUGAAGAGAGACAAGAAUUCACACCAUUUAGAAGAGGCAGCAAGGAUUCUCCCUCCUGCAGCAGCUCUUCAGCCGCUGGAGUUUCUGAGCCUGUCCCAAGAAAGGAUUCCUGAUGGGACAUUUCCUGUUCACAUUGCUGUCUUUCUCAUGAGAAUCCACUCUCAGACCCCAUGCCUCCUUGUGGACUCUGACAGAUGGUGGCAUCCAACUGGACCCUGACUGAGCAAAAGAAGAAGUUCAGUGCCUGAUCCGUAAAAUCAGCCUGUGACCAUCUUGCACAGGAGCUGAUGUCCACAAGAAGUAGCUAAUGUGUGAACCCUGCACCAAAGGAAGGUGCAGACCAAAGUGAGACAGCUACUUUUUUGCCAGAAAGGCAAGUACAUUUAAUGAGCUGAGUUCACUCCUGGGUCACACCAGCGCAGAAGGACAAGACCUCCAUUGCUGGAAAGACCACCCAGAGAGGAGGAAGCUGCACUUGCCCAGGAAGGAGGCACUUACUUUCAGGAUGAAGGUCUGGCACAGCAUCUUCCGUCAUUAGUGGGAGCCCUUCCUCUGACUUACAGAAACAGAGGUGGUGUCUUCAUUUGUGAUUUUUAGUUUUUGAAUUUUCUGAAGUGCAUUGUCCAUCUCAGUCUUCAGACACCUUCCAAGUACCACUUUGUCUACAAAGGCUGUGCUAAAGCAAAAGUGUUUGAUUCCUGGUACUGUGUAUAUCUGCUUGAUUGGGCAGUAAUUCUGGAUUCCAGACAGGUCAAUUCUAAAAGUGGCAUCACUCCACCUUGGUCGGUAUCUUUUGCUGGGAUUAUUCCAAACAAGCUUGACCUGUUGAAAUGUAAUGUUUCUCAUACUAGUUUCCCAAACUAGUGAGGCUGUUGCUAUUUCAGGUGUGCACAGUUUGUACUUUGAAUGUUUGAUAAGCUUAAAACAUGAAAUAUAUAAUGCGGUUUGAACUUUCUAGUGUUAUUUCAUCACCAAAAAAGCAAAGUCUUGAGGCUCAGCAAUUGCCUUUGUCAGAAUGUAAAUUCCAGCAUGUAAUACCCAGGCUGUAUGUUUCAGGAAAUCAGUAUUAACCUAUUAGUAUGCAGUUUUCCUUGGAGAAGAGCCAUCUUCACACUGAGCCUGUAUUCCUGCUUCAAACCUUCCUGUCACUGUUCCGUAUCCACGACCCAGCCUAAGGCUGCCUUUGACGGUUCUCCAGCCAUUUCCUGCAUACUGCACUAGCACUAAUUGAAAAUUUGGGUGGCCUUGCUUAUUUAUUUUCCUGGAAUGUAGUGGGUUAUAUUUUCAUGGCACUUUCUCAGCAGUGCAACGUUUCAAUUUCAAAACCACUGCAAUAUGAGGAAAAGUAACCCCCAAAAUUAAAAAAAUAACAAUAAAAAGCAGCAUAUCUUUGAUUAAUUUUUACAGUAGUUCUUUUGUAAAAAUAUAUAAUGGAAAAAGAAUUCAAUGUUGCUUUUGUUUCUCAAGAUCAGAGGGAAGAGAAGCAAUUUAAAUACAUGUACAAGAUGGUCACAUGCAGACACAAUGAGGCAUGAAACUUUAAAUGUACAGAUGCCAUGGAAAUGAAAAGAUAAUAUAAAGUGUGUUCUUUGCAAGUCUUGCAGAGUUCAAUAGCUACAUAAUGUGUGUGGAGGGAAAGAGAAACAGCCCCCCUGCCCUCUCUAGGAAAAUUCCAACUAUGUCUGGAUAUGCCAUUGGCACUAGCGUUGUGCUUUGCCUCCCCAGAUUUCUGCAGGAAUGUCAUUCCACAGCAGACAGGAUUAGUAUGUCACUGUUACCUCCUUUCUUGGAGAUGAACAUGCUUGGGCAUGAGUACCUGUUGCAAAUUUCAAGUUUUGAUCAAAAAAAAUUCACUUAUCCCUUGACAGUAUUUCAAGUCUUCAGAAUUCUUUUCUCUUCAUGCCUAAUUGUUUUGGUUUAUGGUGAUUUUUACUGUGUGUGCAAAAAUUAAAGGUUGGCAUGAUCCUGUUUGUUUUUUUUUUUCCUGAUACAUUAAGUGCAACUAUUGAAGUCUUUUGGGAAUUAUGUUUUGUUCCCAGAAUUCAGGAAUAAGGAAAUGUUUAACAAUAAAUAUACAAUGAAGGUGCUGAUCUGUAUCUGAGAAAUUAUUUGGAGGAAGAGUGAAUUGAAGAUGGAGUCUGUUUUUACCAACAGGCACACAUCUUUAGGAUUACGCAAUAUUUAAAUUUAUUCAUGUUCUAGAAUGGAGAUAAAAGUGAAUGA